UUCCCAGACUCCUACGGGAGGCAGCAGUGGGGAAUAUUGCACAAUGGGCGAAAGCCUGAUGCAGCAACGCCGCGUGAAGGAAGAAGGGUUUCGGCUCGUAAAAUUCUAUCAACAGGGACGAAAGAAAUGACGGUACCUGAAUAAGAAGCCCCGGCUAACUACGUGCCAGCAGCCGCGGUAAUACGUAGGGGGCAAGCGUUACCCGGAAUUACUGGGUGGAAAGGGUGAGUAGGCGGCAUGGUAAGCCAGACGUGAAAGCCUUGGGCUUAACCCGAGGAUUGCAUUUGGAACUAUCAAGCUAGAGUACAGGAGAGGAAAGCGGAAUUCCUAGUGUAGCGGUGAAAUGCGUAGAUAUUAGGAAGAACACCAGUGGCGAAGGCGGCCUGCUGGACGAUGACUGACGCUGAGGCUCGAAAGCGUGGGGAGCAAACAGGAUUAGAUACCCUCGUAGC
rnacentral:rRNA from 1 species